CCUACACGACCGUACCGCAAACCGACACUGGUGCGCGAGAUGAGUAUUCUAAGGCGCUUGAGAGAACUCAGGAGAAGGAACUCGGCAAAUUGACACCGUAACUUCGGAAGAAGGUGUGCCUUUAGUAGGUGAAGUCCCUCGCGGAUGGAGCCCAAUGAGGUUGCAAAAAAUCGGUGGCUGCGACUGUUUAUUAAAAACACAGCACUCUGCAAACACGAAAGUGGACGUAUAGGGUGUGACGCCUGCCCGGUGCUGGAAGAUUAAAUGAUGGGGUGCAAGCUCUUGAUUGAAGUCCCAGUAAACGGCGGCCGUAACAAUAACGGUCCUAAGGUAGCGAAAUUCCUUGUCGGGUAAGUUCCGACCUGCACGAAUGGCGUAACGAUGGCCACACUGUCUCCUCCUGAGACUCAGCGAAGUUGAAAUGUUUGUGAUGAUGCAAUCUCCCCGCGGAAAGACGGAAAGACCCCAUGAACCUUUACUGUAGCUUUGUAUUGGACUUUGAACAGAUCUGUGUAGGAUAGGUGGGAGGCUUUGAAGCAGGGUCGCUAGAUCUUGUGGAGCAAACGUUGAAAUACCACCCUGGUGUGUUUGAGGUUCUAACCUAGGCCCGUAAUCCGGGUUGGGGACAGUGCAUGGUAGGCAGUUUGACUGGGGCGGUCUCCUCCCAAAGUGUAACGGAGGAGUUCGAAGGUACGCUAGUUACGGUCGGACAUCGUGACGAUAGUGCAAUGGCAUAAGCGUGCUUAACUGCGAGACUGACAAGUCGAGCAGAUGCGAAAGCAGGACAUAGUGAUCCGGUGGUUCUGUAUGGAAGGGCCAUCGCUCAACGGAUAAAAGGUACUCUGGGGAUAACAGGCUGAUACCGCCCAAGAGUUCAUAUCGACGGCGGUGUUUGGCACCUCGAUGUCGGCUCAUCUCAUCCUGGGGCUGUAGCCGGUCCCAAGGGUAUGGCUGUUCGCCAUUUAAAGAGGUACGUGAGCUGGGUUUAAAACGUCGUGAGACAGUUUGGUCCCUAUCUUCCGUGGGCGCUGCAGAUUUGAGGAAGCCUGCUCCUAGUACGAGAGGACCGGAGUGGACGCACCUCUGGUGUAUCGGCUGUCACGCCAGUGGCAUUGCCGAGUAGCUAUGUGCGGAAGAGAUAACCGCUGAAAGCAUCUAAGCGGGAAACUCGUUUCAAGAUGAGAUCUGCCGGGGCCUUGAGCCCCCUGAAGAGUCGUUCAAGGCCAGGACGUUGAUAGGUCGGGUGUGGAAGCGCAGUAAUGCGUUAAGCUAACCGAUACUAAUUGCUCGUGCGGCUUGACUC
rnacentral:rRNA from 1 species